GGAUCCUCUAGAGAUUUUCCGGUUGAUCCUGCCGGAGGUUACUGCUAUCGAGGUUCGACUAAGCCAUGCGAGUCGAAUGUAGCAAUACAUGGCGAACUGCUCAGUAACACGUGGACAACCUGCCCUUAGGUUGGGUAUAAACCCGGGAAACUGGGUAUAAUACCCGAUAGGUCUCGAUUGCUGGAAUGCAUCGAGAUUUAAAGCUCCGGCGCCUAAGGAUGGGUCUGCGGCCUAUCAGGUAGUAGUGGGUGUAGCGUACCUACUAGCCUACGACGGGUACGGGUUGUGAGAGCAAGAGCCCGGAGAUGGAUUCUGAGACACGAAUCCAGGCCCUACGGGGUGCAGCAGGCGCGAAAACUUUACAAUGCUGGCAACAGCGAUAAGGGAACCUCGAGUGCCAGGUUACAAAUCUGGCUGUCGAGAUGCCUAAAAAGCAUUUCAUAGCAAGGGCCGGGCAAGACCGGUGCCAGCCGCCGCGGUAACACCGGCGGCUCGAGUGGUAACCGUUAUUAUUGGGUCUAAAGGGUCUGUAGCCGGCCGGAUAAGUCUCUUGAGAAAUCUGGCAGCUUAACUGUCAGGCUUUCAGGAGAUACUGUCUGGCUCGAGGCCGGGAGAGGUGAGAGGUACUUCAGGGGUAGGGGUGAAAUCUUGUAAUCCUUGAAGGACCACCAGUGGCGAAGGCGUCUCACCAGAACGGACCUGACGGCAAGGGACGAAAGCUAGGGGCACGAACCGGAUUAGAUACCCGGGUAGUCCUAGCCGUAAACGAUACUCGCUAGGUGUCGGCCACGGUGCGACCGUUGUCGGUGCCGUAGGGAAGCCGUGAAGCGAGCCACCUGGGAAGUACGGCCGCAAGGCUGAAACUUAAAGGAAUUGGCGGGGGAGCACCACAACGGGUGGAGCUUGCGGUUUAAUUGGAUUCAACGCCGGA
rnacentral:rRNA from 1 species